rnacentral:rRNA from 1 species
UACGGGGGGGGCAAGCGUUGUUCGGAAUUACUGGGCGUAAAGCGCACGUAGGCGGCUCUUUAAGUCGGGGGUGAAAUCCUGGAGCUCAACUCCAGAACUGCCUUCGAUACUGAAGAGCUUGAGUCCGGGAGAGGUGAGUGGAACUGCGAGUGUAGAGGUGAAAUUCGUAGAUAUUCGCAAGAACACCAGUGGCGAAGGCGGCUCACUGGCCCGGUACUGACGCUGAGGUGCGAAAGCGUGGGGAGCAAACAGG